GAUGAACGCUGGCGGCGUGCCUAAUACAUGCAAGUCGAGCGAACAGACUAGGAGCUUGCUCCUCUGACGUUAGCGGCGUAAGGGUUAGUAACCCGUGGAUAACCUACCUAUUAGCCUGGGAUAACUUCGGGUAACCGGCGCUAAUACCGUUUAAUAUCUUGAACUGCAUGUUUAAAUAGUGAAAGACGGUUUUGCUGUCACUUCUUGUUAGAUCCGCGCAGCAUUAGCUAGUUGGUAAGGUAACGGUUUACCAAGGCAACGAUGCGUAGCCGACCGGAGAGGAGGAUCGGCCACACUGGAACUGAACCAAGAUACAGACUCCAACGGGAGGCAGCAGAAGGGAAUGUACCGCAAUGGGAGAAAGGCUAGAGUGGCAACGCCGCGUGAGGGAUGAAGGGCAUCGGAUCGUAAAACUAUGUUAUUAGGGAAGAACAAAUAUGUAAGUAACUAGGCACGUCUUGACGGUACCUAAUCAGAAAGCAACGGCUAACUACGUG
rnacentral:rRNA from 1 species